rnacentral:rRNA from 1 species
GGAGUAUGGGCCGUGUCUCAGUCCCAUUGUGGCUGAUCAUCCUCUCAAACCAGCUACUGAUCGUCGCCUUGGUGGUCCAUUACACCGCCAACUAGCUAAUCAGAUGCAGACUCAUCCUUGAGCACCGGAGUUUUCAAGAUUAGUAUUUCAACUAAGCUCGUAUGGGGUAUUAGCAGAAGUUUCCCUCUGGUAUCCCCCGGAAUGGGGCAGGUUCCCCACGCGUUACUCACCCGUCCGCCACUCGGCGUUAUCAGUUUCCAUCCGAAAACUUCAACCGAUAACCCUCGUUCGACUUGCAUGUGUUAAGCACGCCGCCAGCGUUCAUC